AGAGUUUGAUCCUGGCUCAGGACGAACGCUGGCGGCGCGCCUAACACAUGCAAGUCGAACGAGCGAGAGAGAGCUUACUUUCUCGAGCGAGUGGCGAACGGGUGAGUAACGCGUGAGGAACCUGCCUCAAAGAGGGGGGACAACAGUUGGAAACGACUGCUAAUACCGCAUAAGCCCACAGGUCGGCAUCGACCAGAGGGAAAAGGAGCAAUCCGCUUUGAGAUGGCCUCGCGUCCGAUUAGCUAGUUGGUGAGGUAAUGACCCACCAAGGCAACGAUCGGUAGCCGGACUGAGAGGUUGAACGGCCACAUUGGGACUGAGAUACGGCCCAGACUCCUACGGGAGGCAGCAGUGGGGAAUAUUGCACAAUGGGCGCAAGCCUGAUGCAGCGACGCCGCGUGAGGGAUGGAGGCCUUCGGGUUGUAAACCUCUUUUGUUUGGGAGCAAGCCUUAGGGUGAGUGUACCUUUCGAAUAAGCGCCGGCUAACUACGUGCCAGCAGCCGCGGUAAUACGUAGGGCGCAAGCGUUAUCCGGAUUUAUUGGGCGUAAAGGGCUCGUAGGCGGCUCGUCGCGUCCGGUGUGAAAGUCCAUCGCUUAACGGUGGAUCUGCGCCGGGUACGGGCGGGCUGGAGUGCGGUAGGGGAGACUGGAAUUCCCGGUGUAACGGUGGAAUGUGUAGAUAUCGGGAAGAACACCAAUGGCGAAGGCAGGUCUCUGGGCCGUCACUGACGCUGAGGAGCGAAAGCGUGGGGAGCGAACAGGAUUAGAUACCCUGGUAGUCCACGCCGUAAACGGUGGAUGCUGGAUGUGGGGACCAUUCCACGGUCUCCGUGUCGGAGCCAACGCGUUAAGCAUCCCGCCUGGGGAAUACGGCCGCAAGGCUAAAACUCAAAGAAAUUGACGGGGGCCCGCACAAGCGGCGGAGCAUGCGGAUUAAUUCGAUGCAACGCGAAGAACCUUACCUGGGCUUGACAUGUUCCCGACAGCCGUAGAGAUACGGUCUCCCUUCGGGGCGGGUUCACAGGCGGUGCAUGGUCGUCGUCAGCUCGUGUCGUGAGAUGUUGGGUUAAGUCCCGCAACGAGCGCAACCCUCGCCCUGUGUUGCCAGCACGUCGUGGUGGGAACUCACGGGGGACCGCCGGGGUCAACUCGGAGGAAGGUGGGGAUGACGUCAGAUCAUCAUGCCCCUUACGUCCAGGGCUUCACGCAUGCUACAAUGGCCGGUACAACGGGAUGCGACACCGCGAGGUGGAGCGGAUCCCUUAAAACCGGUCUCAGUUCGGAUUGGAGUCUGCAACCCGACUCCAUGAAGGCGGAGUCGCUAGUAAUCGCGGAUCAGCAACGCCGCGGUGAAUGCGUUCCCGGGCCUUGUACACACCGCCCGUCAAG
rnacentral:rRNA from 1 species